rnacentral:lncRNA from 1 species
GAAAACAAGUGGAACAUGCUACAUUGCCUGGGUGCGAUAAAUGGAAAACACAUGAAUGUUGAGUGCCCGGCAAACUCUAGAAGCAGAGACUGAAACUACAAAAAUUCGUUCAGCAAGUCGAUGCUCGCAUUGAGCGACGCCAACUACAGCUUCCUGUAUGCUGAAAUCGGCCACCAUGGAAGCGAAUCAGAUGGUGGCAUCUUUAGCAGCAGCAACCUACAAACGAAAAUUAUUGACGGCACUCUUGGUGUUCCUGCAUGCGCAAGUCUUGGAAUGAUAGGCGACAUUCCUUAUUUUUUCGUCGGCGAUGAAGCCUUCUUUUUGAAGACGUACAUGAUGAGGCCGUAUUAAAAAAAAACUCUUCACCCUCUUCUCUUAGGGAGCUCAUCUAUGGCAACAGUGCAACCCUGCAGUGCAGACAGCAGUGCAAGCACACAAUUUGAGGGGUUGCAGCAGAAAAGAAUAUUUAAUUACAGAUUAAGCAGGGCUCGCAGAGUUGUAGAAAAUGCCUUCGGUAUAUUGGCGCAGAGAUGGCGGAUCCUUCGCCGGCCUUUCAAGGCGAAGGAAGACAACAUCAGGAGGAUAGUGUCCGCAUGUGUAGUACUGCACAACUUCCUUUUGAAGGAAUCACCAGACUCAAAAGCCAUGUACUGUCCACUGGGUACCACCGACACUGAGGAAUGGCAAGGCAAGGUGAUUGAUGGGAACUGGAGGGCCGACAGUGCUAACAAUGGAGCUCUGGUCACCUUGCACGGCACAGGUUACCACUCGACCAGGUAAUGUGGGCAUAGCUAUGAAACUACUGUUGCACGCACAUGCACAGAUGCAGCGCACAUAUUUAAAGCAAAGUUUCUUUUGCCUAGCCUGCUACAAUUUCAUGUUGGUCAGUUUGUAUGUCUGUCUAUCAGUAUUGUGCCAUGUGUUUGCGCUGACACGCAAACAUAUGUGUACACGCUCUGGUAUUUGUUUACAUUGCUUGUUGAUCUUCAGUAUACUGCAAUGAAACACCUCCGAUCCACGUAAUUCAACAAUGUAUUUAAAAGCACUACAUACAGUGUGGUAUACUUACUAUGCGUUACGUGUAGUGCACGAGUACUACAUAUAAUGUUGUAGCUUCCCCAUUCUUGUGCCACAAAGUAUGUGCUGCUGUCACACAGUCGGUGUAAAACAUUGAUGUGUUUUCAUGUACCACACUUUUGCCUGCUUGCUCCUCUCUUCACAAUUCCUCCCCUCAAGAUCACUGGUCUGAUGUCUCACAGUAUGAACUCGCUUCCACUCCUGUUUGCAUAUAGACCUAGGUUGUGCAGUGCACAAACUUUGCAUGGUACUUUGCUGCUCAUAAAUAUGAUGCGGUAAUAAUGAGGAAAGUGUGGUGAAUCAACAUUGCAUGAGGUUACACAUCACAUUGGACUAAAGAAGUUCGCAUAGAACAAAGUCAUAGUAUUUAAGCGCAUCACAAAUUCUUUACUUCACAAAGAUUCCAAGGUGCAGUAAAGCUCUUGUUUGGCCUGGUUGGUGCAUUCUUGGACACGUAACAGGUCAGCACAAAAAAACAAGGAACUUGAAAGAAACAUGCACAGGAUGGGCUUUGCACCUGUUAUGAAGCCGAACAAUAUUAUGAAGCCGAAUAGAGCUACAUUGACGCACUGCGUCACGCUAAACACUCCUUUUAUCACAAUAAUCUACCAAACCUAUUAAUCAAUAACCAGAGGCAAUU